CUGGGGUCAGCAGCUGCACCGAAUACCUACAGCAGACAGCACAGUGUGAACAUGGGGCCACUGAAGGGAGCCCAAAGUCAGCAGGCAGCAUGGGCACUGCUGGCAUUGGCUUCAGCGGUCUAGCUGCAGGGACUCCAAGGAACAAGAUCAGCACACUCAAGGGAAACAAGGAGGGCUCAGGGUCUGAAGACCUAUUGUCUAUCUUCUCCAGUCACUGCCUUUGAGCCCUGGCAGAACAGCCUGGAGAACACUGAUCCCCUGGGCUGCUGCCACCAGAUACCUGGAGUACACCCAGGGUAAGGAUGAUGGGGGCAGGCCCUGCUCUACUGGGAAACUGGAAGAGAAUGGUGUGAGCUCUGCUGGAGCUUGCUGAAGACUGGGUUCUAACUCAUUUCUAGAUCCUUAGCACUCUAAACGUAGUGCCUGGAAAAUGCCCUUGACACAGUAGAAGGGCUCCAACUGCCUGGCGUACAUACCUCAGUGUGGUCUUGGUGCCAAUCUCCCCCAAGUGGUUAAGCGCCUCCUCGCUGAUGUUGAUGCCUUCUGUCUGGGCUCGGAUCUUAAUGAUCUUUGAAGAAAAAAAAAUCAUGGUUAAGUGUUUCAUCUGUGUUCAUUGUCUGACCUGCUGAUGGCCACCAGCACUGCUGGUCUGCAUCUCUGGGGAUAACAUGCCCUAGCCACAGUCCACCUGGAUGACAUCACAGCCAGGGGUACCCCCAUGUCCAAUGGAGCCCUCUCCACUGUCAUAGAGAACUUAGGGCCACCCCUAGCUUUGCCCUCAAGGCUUCAACAUCUCCUGGCAGCUUGGGCACUAUCAUCUAGGAGCACUCAAGCAAGAGAACAUUUUUUAUGUGCUUGAUAAAUUCCAUGGUUAAAUAAAUCAAAAAAGUUACUUUAA